rnacentral:lncRNA from 1 species
CGCUGGAGACGAGGAGCAGCCGGUGGAGACGAGGAGCGCCGGUGGAGAGGAGGUGGCAUCUCGCACGGAAGAGGAGACGAUCCCGUGGAGAGGAGGAGGCAUUCCCGUGGAGAGGAGCAUCCGGCGGGAGACGAAGUAGCAUCCGGCGGAGACGAGGAGUAGCAGCCGGCGGAGACGAGUAGCAGCAUCCGGAGGAGACGAGGAGUAGCAUCCGGCGGAGAGGAGCAGUAGCAUCCGGUGGAGAGGAGGAGGAGCAUCCGGAGGAGAGGUGGAGGAGUAUCCGGCGGAGAGGAGGAGGAGCAUCUGGCGGAGAGGAGGAGGAGCAGCCGGGGGAGACGAGAAGCAGCCGGUGGAGACGAGGAGCAGCCGGUGGAGAGGAGGAGCAGCCGGUGGAGACGAGGAGCAUCUCGAGGAGAGGAGGAGCAUCCGGUGGAGAGGAGGAGCAUCUGGUGGAGACGAGGAGCAUCUGGUGGAGAGGAGGAGUAGUAUCUGGUGGAGAGGAGGGUAGUAUCUGGUGGAGAGGAGGAGCAUCUGGUGGAGAGGAGAAGCAUCUGGUGGAGAGGAGGAGCAUCUGGUGGAGGGGAGGAGCAUCUUCCCGUGCUUGUUUAUUGUGUUUGUUGAAGGUCACGUCAUCGCUCACCCAGUGGGCAGUGGGUUUCAGGCGUGGCUCACACCUGGUGUGGUCAUCGGCACCCCAGUGUUGCUCAGGGCUGGCGGGAUCUUUAGCCCAAAGGCGCAGUCUGUGCUAUCGCUCCUUCCAGGCCUGGCCACUCCCACAAGAAGAAAACAGAAACCUCAGUGCCUGGCAGAGAAGGCUCUUGGGCGGCAAGUAGGCGGCCGGAUCACCCUCCGUCCCGCCUCCUGUGCCCCCAGCCCCUCCGCACCCCGUCUCCUUCCUCUUCUUCGCCAAGCUCUGAGCACCCUCUCCGGGGCGCUAGGCGCUCUCCUUUGCCCUCUUCCUGGUGGAGUACGGGAUGCAGCACACACAGCUGGUAUGCAUCCUGCAGGGCGAGAGGAGGGCAGGUGGGUGAGAAAGGGUCCUGGGCCAGCACUGUGGCCACAGGCACCCCGAGAGCAGCACCCCCAACCUGAAGUGCACUGGGAGGUCUGCCCUGCACUUGCGUAUGCACCCCUUUUCAUCAAGCGCACUGGGGAGUCUCCCCUGUACCUGCAUAUGCACCCCCGUUCAUCAAGUGCACUGGGGGGUCUCCCCUGUACCUGCAUAUGCUCCCCAUUUCAUCAAGCACACUGGGGGUCUCCCCUGCACCUGCAUAUGCAUCCCCUUUUAUCAAGCACACUGGGGGGUCUCCCCACACCUCUGCAUGCACCCCCUUUCAUCAAGCGCACUAGGGGGUCUCCCCUGCACUCUGCCUGCACCCCCUUUCAUCAAGUGCACUGGGGGGUCUCCCCUGCACUCUGCCUGCACCCCCUUUCAUCAAGCACACUGGGGGUCUCCCCUGCACUCUGCCUGUACCCCCUUUCAUCAAGCACACUGGGGGUCUCCCCUGCACUCUGCCUGCACCCCCUUUCA